CAGUCGCCGCGGUAAUACGAGGGGAGCUAGCGUUGUUCGGAAUUACUGGGCGUAAAGCGCGCGUAGGCGGCUUUUUAAGUCAGAGGUGAAAGCCCGGGGCUCAACCCCGGAAUUGCCUUUGAAACUGGAAAGCUAGAAUCUUGGAGAGGUCAGUGGAAUUCCGAGUGUAGCGGUGAAAUUCGUAGAUAUUCGGAAGAACACCAGUGGCGAAGGCGACUGACUGGACAAGUAUUGACGCUGAGGUGCGAAAGCGUGGGGAGCAAACAGGAUUAGAUACCCCAGUAGUCCCUGUCUCUUAUAC
rnacentral:rRNA from 1 species